rnacentral:tRNA from 1 species
AGACCUUAGGAUUAUUACUAAACCAGAAGCCUUCAAAGCCUCUAAAAAGAGAACAACCUCUUAGCUCCUG